CGAACUUCGAUAUUCUAGAAGUUUCGAAAAUUCGAACAUCGUUGCCAGUGAGCGCUCUGAGUCUGAUGCGCGCCAGUACUCGAUUGUCAUUUGACGCGAUACGUUCUCUGGCAUUCGCUGUGCUAUUACUGCUAUACGACCCAACGGCUUCAACUCUGUUCGGAACUUCGGAUACUAAACUUCCUCGGUGUCUGUGAUUCAUUGGAUCAUUGCAGUCUUGACACUGUGGCACAAAGGAUUGCAGUCAUCUUUCUUCUUCUAAAGCUGUAGUCUACAUCAUGGCUACCCCUACUCAUCAUCCUAUAAUUAAGUUUGCCUUUAAAAAUGUUGAAUCUGUAGAUAAUGGUUCAGUUGGUUCUCUUCAGGCUAAAUGUAAUUUUUGUAAAUUUGGUGGGGGAAUUGUAAAGUUCAGUAAAAAAAGUUACAGUAAUUUGACUAAACACCUAAAGCGUCACCACUUGAGUGAAUAUAAUGCUUAUCUUGAAAAA